UGCUUUAAGGUUGCAUUUCUGUAAAUAUUGACAAUGCAAUUUCCCAUAGGAACUCCUUUUACGGCUAAAACUGUACCACUUUUACUAUGAAGUUUUGAAAAAAAUCUUAUCCUAGAAUUGAAAGUUCAUAUGCACCACAUUUUUUUUCAAAGGUCAAAAUAUAGGGCUGUGCGGCAUAUUUUCAACGUUUAUAUGCCCUGAACUUCUCAGAGUUUAAACUUACACUAAUUUUCUUAACUACCCCUACCUCGAAUGAAAGGUUACCACAGAUUUCAAUGUAAACAAUAUGCACGUGUUUAUUUACUGGUAACAUUCCCAAGUUCUGUCUCUGCGAUAUGGAACACAGAGAGCAUAACUGGGAACCAGUAUGUAAACAAAAUC
rnacentral:lncRNA from 1 species